UCGUUCCAUUAUCUCUUUCCUCUGUCUCUUCCAGUUUAAAAGAGAGAAUGAGACUGUAUAUGAUUCUUCCACAUCAGGCAAAGAAGAGCACAAAAAUUGUAUUACAAUUGAUGAUUCUUUCACAUCGGGAAUUCUCUCAGUCCUAACAUGAAGCAAAGAACAUCAAUUAUGGAAAUCUUUGCUUUUUGGUAACAACUUCAUCAACCUACCACACCAGGAGAUUAAGAGCACAAUCACUUAAUUGGCAGUGGAACAGUUCUUUCAGCAUUUCUCAGUCAAGAGGAGUCAUUUUGCAAUGGUGAAAUAAGAUCAUGCAUGUAGUUUUCAGGCUACAUGAUGUUGUGUGGUGAAUCAUCCAAAAAGCUAUGUAUUUUUGGAGGAUACAACACGAGGGUGGCAAUAUUUUUGAAAGGUUUGAGGGUGGCAAGAUAAAUUUUAGAAUAACCAGUACCUUUGACAUCAAAAUUGAUGCUAAAUCACUUUUUGGUCUUUGAUUAACUCUUAUUCAUGUUAUGUUGAAUUUUCUAUGAGGCCUUCAUGAUAAACUUCUAUUUUGGACAAGGGUCAAACCACACAGGUGUUCCAAUAAGGUCGCUUACCAUUAAUUGUUCUAUAACUAUGAACAUACAUAGAAAUGAAAAGAGAUGGAAGAAUUAUGAUUUAAAGGUA